GGUUUAAUGGUUUAGCGGUCAUGACGUGGGUUUCUGAUUGAAAGAUGAGAAUAUACCCGAAACCCCGGUUCGAUUCCGGGUUAGACCU